rnacentral:rRNA from 1 species
AACGGGUGAGGAACACGUGAGAAACCUGCCUUUCAUUCUGGGAUAACACCGGGAAACCGGUGCUAAUACCGGAUACUCCAUCUUGGCGGCAUCACCGAGCUGGGAAAAAAUUUUGAUGAAAGAUGGUCUCGCGGCCUAUCAGCUAGUUGGUGAGGUAAAGGCUCACCAAGGCAACGACGGGUAGCCGGCCUGAGAGGGCGACCGGCCACACUGGGACUGAGACACGGCCCAGACUCC